rnacentral:rRNA from 1 species
GACGAACGCUGGCGGCGUGCCUAAUACAUGCAAGUCGAACGCUGAGGGAGGAGCUUGCUUCUCUGGAUGAGUUACGGACGGGUGAGUAACGCGUAGGUAACCUGCCUGGUAGUGGGGGUUAACUAUUGGAAACGAUAGCUAAUACCGCAUAAGAGUAGAUGUUCCAUGCCAUUUGCUUAAAAGAUGCAAUUUCCUCACUACCAGAUGAACCUGCGGUGUAUUAGCUUGUUGGGGGGGUGACGGCUUAACAAAGCGACGAUACAUAACCGACCUGAGAAGGGGAACCGCCAAACUGGGAAUGGGACACGGGCCAGACUCCUACGGGAGGCAGCAGUAGGGAAACUUCGGGAAUUGACGGAAGUCUGACCGGGCAAAGCCGCGGGAGUGAAGGAGGGUUUCCGAUCGGAAAGAUCUGUUGUAAGAGAAGAAAGAGUGUGGGAGGGGAAAGUACACACUGUGACGGUAUCUUACCAGAAAGAGACGGCUAACUACGUG